rnacentral:rRNA from 1 species
CCUACGGGAGGCAGCAGUGAGGAAUAUUGGUCAAUGGACGAGAGUCUGAACCAGCCAAGUAGCGUGAAGGAUGACUGCCCUAUGGGUUGUAAACUUCUUUUAUAUGGGAAUAAAAUGUUCCACGUGUGGGAUUUUGUAUGUACCAUAUGAAUAAGGAUCGGCUAACUCCGUGCCAGCAGCCGCGGUAAUACGGAGGAUCCGAGCGUUAUCCGGAUUUAUUGGGUGUAAAGGGAGCGUAGGUGGAUUGUUAAGUCAGUUGUGAAAGUUUGCGGCUCAACCGUAAAAUUGCAGUUGAAACUGGCAGUCUUGAGUACAGUUGAGGUGGGCGGAAUUCGUGGUGUAGCGGUGAAAUGCUUAGAUAUCACGAAGAACUCCGAUUGCGAAGGCAGUUCACUGGACUGCAACUGACACUGAGGCUCGAAAGUGUGGGUAUCAAACAGGAUUAGAUACCCUAGUAGUC